UGAAUAUUAAGAGUCUAAUUCUUUCAAAGCCAGUUUGGAACCAUUACAGAUUUCAAUCUGGGGGUUGGAAGGCAAUUGCCCUUUCUUCUCUAUCAGUUCUGAGAGUGGACACUUGAAGAUGGGGGAAGAACUGGGCUGAGAUGUAGCAUCUUGAUGGCAACAAAGGGGUGGCACCCCUUGAAAUCUCCAACCCAGUACACAGUAUAACAGACAGACUGGUUUCUUCAAAGAGUCUUUACAAAACAUUUGAGGAGGCAAAAAGACCAAGUCCAGAGUGUAUCAGGAGACAACCUGCCAUGACCCACAUAGGACAAGCUUCUGGUCUCUCACUGAGACACCUGCUUCCUCCAGAAUGCCAUCUGCCCAGUUCCCUGCCCCAAUCUCACAGAGCCAAUGAGUGGCAGCAUAGGGGUUGAACUGAGUCCUCCUUUCCCCACAAUCUCAUGUCUUUCCAGGAUACCAUCUUGCCUCCUUGUAAAAUCAGAAUGGACUGAAGCUUGCUACCUCCUGAACAGAGAAUGCAGGUGGGAGGAAGACUAGGGGCUGGUCCUAGCUUCCAGCAUGUAAGACCUAAUUCUUCCCUUAAGUGACUUUUGGCAAGGAAUGACUGCCUCCUCAGUUGCAUCCACUAUGUUCAAGAGUUGCUUUAUCUCUAUUUGAACUGACUCUCCAACAUAACUUCACUGUGAAAUGCAUUUUACCAAUCAUACAGUAAAUAAAACACCCAUUGAGCAAGUGGGAGUGUUUGUUAUAGUAGAUUUGCAUGCACUACAGACCCUAUAGAUUUGUUAUGGCAAGCAUCUUACUCUCCAACUUCAUAUUUGUUCCAGUCUUGCUCUUAAGGCAUGAAAAACAAAAUAAUCAACAAACAAGCAUGGAUCCUUCUGCAGCAUGAGUGAGUUUAGAGGCAGUUCAAAGUUGCUGCAAGAGAAAUUUUUCUGUAAGAGGAUGAUAAAUGGAGAAAGACAUUGGUUUCCUUAUAGAUCAGAGCAUCCAAGUGUAAGAAAUGGAUUUAGAGAUGCUAAUUGUGGUAAUGAAUGAUGAAGAGACCAGGAAGUGUCUAAGAUCAGCAGAGAGAGAUGGGAAGCUUCAAUGUAAAACAAAAAGAAGCACAUUUAAACACAGCAUGAUGUGAUGUCAACACAUUCACACCAGGAUAGCUAAAGUAG
rnacentral:lncRNA from 1 species